rnacentral:lncRNA from 1 species
GCAGCUCUGAUCCUGUGUUGCUGUGGCUGUGGUCUAGACCAUCAGCUGCAGCUCUGAUUUGACCCCUAGCCUGGGAACUUCCAUAUGCCACGAGUGUGGCCCCGAAAAAAGAAAAGGAAAAAAAGAAAGAAAGAAAAGAAAUCUUUACUUUGGAACCAGAUAACUGAAUAUAGAUGACCCGAAUUUCAUUCAAUUACAGUACAUUCAGAGAUUUUUCUUAACUUUUCUUCCAAUCUUAUUGGAACCCCCAUUUAUUUCUGUGAGGUUUCAGCUAGAGUUGGGGCUCCAGGAUUCAUGCUGUGUACAUCUAGCCAGUUUUCCUUUAGCUUACUUCUUUGGAUUUAGUUGUUUCAAUACACUGCUUUAUUUGCAUUAUUGGAAAUCGAGUAGAUGCAUAGACAAUAAGAUUUGACCCAAACAAUGUCUUUCUCGUAUCAAUCCUCAGUCCUAGAAUUAUUUUCCCUUGUUUCAUGAAUAGCUCAUUAAAUAGGUAUUUUAAAAUAAUCUUAUGAAUGGAAACGUACCACUCCCAUUUUACGAAUGAGUGAACUGAGUUUUAUGGAGACGGAGUAAUUUGCCUAGGCCCUUCUUGCUAAUAAGGGAUAGAUCUGGCGUUGGAACCCAGGCAUUCUGAUUACAGAAUGCGUUUUAGUAACCACAGUGCUUUGAGCAAGCAAAUACAUGAGUAAAGGCAGAAACCAAUCAGCAAAUAGAAGAACCUUCAUGUCUCUAAGUGCCAGCACUUUGGCUGCUUGUACUUCCCCCUCGUCUAAUUUCAUCAGAACAGAAAGUCCCUUUGUUUAUUCCAAAUACUGGUUCCAAAGAAGGCUUUUAGGUAGGCUCCUGAAGUCCACCAGGCUGGGGUGCUCCCUUGAGCAUCGUCCCGAUCACCUGGGUUGUGGGACCCUCGGGUUUCCAUCCUUCUCGCUAGGACACCAUGGAAACAGUCUACCAGCUCACUAGAUUUUGAAUGAUGGGCUAUUUUGGUAAAGAGUCUGACUCCCAAAAGUCCCAGAUGCUGCAUGUUCUCAGAAAGGAAAUUAGAUCCGUAGCCAUUUAGAAUAAUAUUUAUAUCCACUCUUAUCCUGUUUCAUGCAUUUUCAGCAGUACAGCCCCGGGGACCUUUUAAAAACAUAAAGUUAUCCAUGUCACGCCCUUGUCUAAAAACUUACAGUGGGACUUCGAAUUUAAGAUAAUGAACUGAACCUCUAAGUUUCCUUCCCUCCCUCCUCAGGCCCCACUGAAACCGAAGACAAGAAACGUCAAAGAGAAUCGACACAUCUCAGCAAAGAAGAACGGAAGGAUUUGGUUCUAAGUGAAGAAGAUCUCAGCAAAUGUGUGGGAGAAACGACGACGAAAGAGUACAGCUGCUCUCGGACAGGACAUAAGCAAAUCGGAACAGCCUAACCCCAGAGAAAUGUGGGCGUCUGAAAAAUCCAUCAGUUGUGAACCUGAACCCCAUCCGUCUACCGCAACCUUUGUGCGCAGAACACAGGCAAUCUCCUCUUAGUUUCAGUGAUAAAAGUCUAUUGUUCUUGUUGUGUUUGUAUAAAGGAAUCAAAUAAACUGCCCGAGGAGAGGUAGAAGUUGGUGCUCCAAAAGAAAAUUUCUCUUUUUUGUGGAAAUAAGUGACCCCUUAACCUACUAGCUAAUUCUCUACUGGCAGCUGAGAUCCCGACCGAAGUAUCCAAGUGCUUUCAAUUGUAGCGAGGCUUAGGGGAGUAGCAGACCCGCUACACAAUGACAGAGGGAACUCACAGCCACACUGUAAAAAUCACCUGUUUUAUGGAUUCUUCAAUGCGAAUUGUCAGCUAGAACUUCUCAGACAUUGAGCCUUGGGAGUAGGGGUUGGGGGGAGGGACCAGGAGAGAAGCAUGGAAGAAAGACAGCCAGUUAGAAUCAGGAGAUGUGAAAAACACAGCAAACUCUGGGGGACACAGAGUUACCAUGGGAAAAAAUAAAAAUUAGGUCUGAGAUGUCUUUGUAAGGUAAAAACAGGAUGCUACAAAGAAAAGGAAAACUCUGAAAAUGAGAAGAGCCCUUAAAGUGAAAUAACACUGCCAAAAAAUUCUUAGAGACAGGCUGGAAAAUUAAGUUGAAGGAAUCUCCCUAGAUAUGGAGCAAAAUGAAAUAGAAAAUAUAAAGAAAGGAAAGAGACAUGGACAAUCAAGAUCUAAAGGAGUUUUUGGAAGAGAGAAUAUAGAACAUGUAGGCGAAGAAAGAAAAAGAAUUGAACAGAAAGAACUAAGUCGCUAAAUUGAGGGGACCCCAUCCAACCUACAUCUAGGUGUAACCGUGUGAAAUUUUGGUAUAUUAAGGAUAAAGGGAAGCUAUUGAAAAUGCCAGGAGAGAAAAUAAAAUUAGGUCAUCAUACUUAGCUUGACUAAAAAGGGAUGAGAAAUAGACCAGGAGUAGAUUUUCAUCAGCUACACAAUGCCAGAAGCCAACAGAGUGUCUUCACACAUGGGAAAUCUUCGUACCCAGCAUUCCAUAGCAAGUCACUGUCAAGGGUCAAGUCAAAUAAAGUAAUUAUCUGACAUGCAAGUUUUCAGAAAGUCCAUCUGCUUUGCACCCUCACUGAGGAAGCACCCUGAGGAAGUUCUCCAGCAAAGUGAGGACGAAAAGCAGGAAGGAAAUAGCAUCCAGAAAGCAGUGGACCUCACCCAGGAUGGCUCGCUCCAGAGUGACGAGUAUCCAGCAGGAUGGUUCACGCUAGACUAACAGCUAAGAGAACCAUUUUAGAUGGGAGUACAGGGUCUCAGGCUCUCUGGGGAGAAUGUGCAUUCUGUGCCAUAGAUAGUAUCCUUGAAAAGAUGGAAUGUUUAAGAAUAUGCAGGUGAUACAUUCUUUAGUCAACAACAACAACAAAGACAAAAAUAUCUCAAAUUCAGGUCCAGUUAUGAAACAAUGACAAAAAUACUCAUGGUAAUUUAAGAGACCCGACAUUGGCAGUAGGUGCAUUUCAUUUCAAGUGACACAGGAAUCAUGACAUUGGAUAUGUUUGGAAGAAGAUAUUCUAGCUUCUACUUAGCUCUCAGUAAACAGUAUUUACAGAGCCAAAAUAAUGUAGAUACUAUUGGAAUUCAGUAUCCUGAUCAGCCUAUAGACAAAACAUGGAAGCUUAAUUUUUUUUAUUCGGAAGUGAACUUGAAAGUAAUUAAUCCUGAAAAGAAUAAAGAAAACAAAGAGGCUGAGAAUGAGUUGGAGGAAGAGAGGUGGUAGGAAGAACAGAAUUACUCAUCUAUUCAACGGGGGGAUGAAAAAGCCUACAGUUAAUGGAAAAAAGCUAAGGGAAGAGUCACUGUUCAAAACUAUAAAUUAAACCAAUGGAAGUAUUAAAAAUGGCAUCAAUCAAAAAUUGGGGAAGGGAUAGGCAAAUGAAGGGUAAGACCAGUGUAAGUUAAAUCCUUAUCUUUUGUAAUGGGGAAUUAUUAAAGAUUGUCUAAAGUUAAUAAGUCAAGAAAUUAUUGUUCAAGCAUAUUAUUUAAUGUUAGGAAGUUAGUUAACAGAAUAUCUAAAAAAUAGACAUUGUUCAAUGCAUUGCCUCUAGGAUAUGGGACUAGGGUUAAAAGUGUGGGGUGGGAAACUGUGUUUUGCAUUUAGUCCUUCUGUGCUAUUUAAUUUUUUACUUUGUGCAUGUAUUACUUUUAAAAUUUCUAAUAAACUCAAAUAAAAA